rnacentral:rRNA from 1 species
UACAGGGGGUGCAAACGUUGCUCGGAAUCAUUGGGCGUAAAGCGCACGUAGGCGGUUAUUUAAGUCGGAUGUGAAAGCCCUUGGCUCAACCGAGGAAGUGCAUCCGAAACUGAAUAGCUGGAGUACGAAAGAGGGUCGCGGAAUUCCCGGUGUAGAGGUGAAAUUCGUAGAUAUCGGGAGGAACACCGGUGGCGAAGGCGGGUCUCUGGGCCGAUACUGACGCUGAGGAGCGAAAGCGUGGGGAGCGAACAGG